ACUAAUCAUAUUAAUUCAAAGUUAGUUUGGAGUUGGAAUACUUUUUUGAAAUGUCUCAGUUUUCUUUUAGUCAAUUACUAAUAAAAUUAUUUAUGUCAAUGAAGACAAAUGUAAAAAUGGACAGUAAUUAUCAACAUAAACUAGGAUGAAUUAAAAUUUUUUUUUACCAAUUACUAAAUAAUUACAAGGACUUUUGUUCCAACAAUAUUACCAAGCAAUCGUCUACUUCAUAAUAUGUACAACUGAAUAAACUCCAUUAUCAUAUCUCCAAAACAUCAUCUGGUGUUAUACUACAGACAUAAAAUAAUCUUUUCUAGAAAUAUCAAGAAGAAUUAUUUGUACUCAGCUAUGCAUAAGAAAAAAAUGCGGAGGCACAAGCAAUCAAGUGGGGGGAUGUAGUAUGUAUGUUGAUUCUUAGCGUGUCUCGGAAUAAACACGUGACGAUACGAGCAUAUUAACGGCAUAGCAGAGCUGUUUGCAUCACCAGCUUCGACGUGGUACGAAGAGUAUGAGGUGUCUUUCUAUUUUAGAUUAUUUGAUUUUGUCUUGAGUUAAAAAGGAAACUUAAUAGAUGAUGUUACUAUACUUAAUUCCAUGAGCUAAUUAAAUUAUCUGUUCAGAUAACUCCAUGUCGAAGAAUGUGAAAAAUGAAAUAUAAUUUAUGUUUAAUUAAAUAUUGAAAAAUAAUGAUAUUAUAGCGGCUUUUUAACGUGGAAAAGUAUUUAUCUCAAGCAUUAAUUAUGUCUAAUUAUUCCAUAGAAUCGAUUAAAUCAAUUUACAUACUUUCAACUAGCGUAUCCGUUCUAUCUAAUGUAUAUUCGAUCAAUACUUGAUAACUUUUUAUACAAUAUAGAACUACCCUACCUAAGGAUCUUUUGACUUUAUAAGUAAAAAAUAUGUAUCAACAUUUAUGUAUAAGUAUGUCAAUGUCAUGCUAUCCAGACUAAAUGUGAAUGAUCAAAUUUUCUCCAGUUGCAUGUUGAUACAAAUGAUAUCAUCAUUUGGACUAUGUAUUGCACUUAUGAAAUAAAUGAAUGUAACCCGUUUGCCAACGUAAUUUAAAAGCACAUCGACAAUGAUUCAAAUUAGUUAAUUGAUGCAUAAAUCUUUCCAUAUAUAGACAAAGUAUUUGUUGUAAAUAUGAAUACAUAUUGACUAUAUUAUUAUAAACUUAUAAAUAAUUUAUUUAAGUAUAUUUAUGGUAUUCUCACGAACAUUAAAGUGAAAAGCGAUAAAGGGCGAUAAGUUUUGAGGUAUAAAUGACGUCAUUCUUCGUUGAACAAGACAUGGAGACGCAUUUGCUUCACUCCAUGUCAUGAAUGUAUCUCGUCAUGUCCUUGAUAUUUCCAUGGUCAUUUUGCACCGUGACUCUGUAUAGCAAUCGAGUAGAUACAAUUAAAUAUAACUAGCACGUCAUCAAUGUUGUAGGCGGAAUCUUUGAAAGAUUCAUGAAAAUAUUUUUUCUCAUAUCAGUUUAAAUAUUGAGAAAAAAGUAACAUAAACAAACGUCUCAAUGUUAUAUUAUUUUUUUUCAAACCGAAAACGUUAUAAAAAUUUUUUGUGUACCAGAAUUUUCUUUGAGGAAUACCAUGAAUAAUAUAACAUCUAAAAGUGAUCACAGCAUGCCAUGACUAAUAAUAGUUUUCAGAUUGGAUUCUAAUGCUUUUCCUUUUUUACUGCAUUCCAUUCAUAUUUUUCUUCUUUCCUUUUUAAGCGAUCCAAUUUUUUUUUCUUAUUACUGUGUAAUUAUA